rnacentral:rRNA from 1 species
GAUGAACGCUCGCGGCAGGCUUAAUACAUGCAAGUCGUGGGGCAGCAGGACUGUAGCACUACAGUUGCUGGCGACCGGCAAACGGGUGCGGAACACGUACGCAACUUACCCUGAACUGGGGGAUAGCCCGGGGAAACCCGGAUUAAUACCCCGUAAUAUAAUGGAGUGGCAUCACUUUAUUAUUAAAGCUCCGUCUGUUCGUGAUGGGCGUGGGGCUGAUUAGGUAGUUGGUUGAGGUAACGGCUCACCAAGCCUACGAUCAGUAACUGGUGUGAGAGCACGAAAAGUGAGAAGGGCAAUGAGAAACGGGCCCGAAUGCUACGGGAGGCAGCAGUAAGGAAUAUUGGGCAAUGGAGGAGACUCUGACACAGCCAUGCCGGGUGGAGGAUGAAGGCCCUCGGGGUUGUAAACUUCUUUUAUAGGGGACGAAACCUGUGUAUUCUUACGCAGUUGACGGUACCCUAGGAAUAAGCACCGGCUAACUCCGUG